GACGAACGCUGGCGGCGUGCUUAACACAUGCAAGUCGAACGGAAAGGCCCCGCCUUUGUUGCACGCUCGAGUGGCGAACGGGUGAGUAACACGUGAGUAACCCGCCCUUGUCUGAGGGGUAUCUUCAGGUAACUCGGGCUCAUACCGUGUAGGAUCUUCUGCUGCGUGGUGGGGGAUGGUAAGUUUCGGCGGUGGGGGAUGGACUCGCGGCUUACCAGCUGGUUGGGUGGGUAGUUGCUUACCAAGGCUUUGACGGAUAGCCUGCCUGGGCGGGUGGCCGGCCACCUUGGGCCUGAGGUAGGGCCCAGACUGCUACGGGCGGCAGCGGUGGGGAGUAUUGCACAAUGGGCGGGCGCAUGAUGCAGCAACGCCGCGUGCGGGAUGGCUGCCUUCGGGUUGUAAACAGAUUUCGCCUGUGACGAAGCGUGAGUGACGGUAAUGGGUGAAGAAGCACCGGCUAACUACGUG
rnacentral:rRNA from 1 species